AACGAACGCUGGCGGCAUGCCUAACACAUACAAGUCGAACGCGUGGAGCGAUCCACGAGUGGCGCACGGGUGAGUAACGCGUGGGAACCUGCCCUGGAGUGUGGGAUAACCCGGCGAAAGCCGGGCUAAUACCGCAUACGACCUGAGGGUGAACGAUUUAUCGCUCUAGGAGGGGCCCGCGUCGGAUUAGCUAGUUGGUGAGGUAAUGGCUCAACAAGGCGAUGAUUCGUAGCUGGUCUGAGAGGAUGAUCAGCCACACUGGGACUGAGACACGGCCAAGACGCGGACGGGAGGCCGGGGUGGGGAAUAUUGGCGAAUUGGGGCAACCCUGAUCCAGCAAUGGCGCGUGGGCGAUGAAGGCCGUCGGGUUGUAAAGCCCUUUUGCACGCGACGAUGAUGACGGUAGCGUGAGAAGAAGCCCCGGCUAACUUCGUGCCAGCCGCCGCAGUAA
rnacentral:rRNA from 1 species